rnacentral:rRNA from 12 species
GUGGCACUAUCGACCGAUCAUGAACCUUCGUGGUGAAAGAUUUGAGUUUGAGCACAUAUGUUGGUACCCGAAAGAUGGUGAACUAUGCCUGGGUAGGGAGAAUACAGGGGAAAUUCUGUUGGAAGCUCGUAGCGAUACUGACGUGCAAAUCGUUUGUCAAACCUGGGUAUAGGGGCGAAAGACUAAUCGAAC